UUACCGUCCCGCAUCAUGGAGCGCAGCGGCUC
rnacentral:scRNA from 1 species